rnacentral:rRNA from 1 species
CCUACGGGUGGCUGCAGUGGGGAAUUUUGCACAAUGGGGGAAACCCUGAUGCAGCGACGCCGCGUGAGUGAAGAAGUAAUUCGUUUUGUAAAGCUCUAUCAGCAGGGAAGAAUAUGACGGUACCUGAGUAAGAAGCACCGGCUAACUACGUGCCAGCAGCCGCGGUAAUACGGAGGGGGCAAGCGUUAUCCGGAUUUACUGGGUGUAAAGGGAGCGUAGACGGCAGUGCAAGUCUGGUGUGAAAGGCGGGGGCUCAACCCCCGGUCUGCACUGGAUACUGUACGGCUGGAGUGCAGGAGAGGUAAGUGGAAUUCCUAGUGUAGCGGUGAAAUGCGUAGAUAUUAGGAGGAACAUCAGUGGCGAAGGCGGUUUACUGGACUGUAACUGACGUUGAGGCUCGAAAGCGUGGGGAGCAAACGGGAUUAGAUACCCGGGUAGUC